rnacentral:lncRNA from 1 species
GCCGCCGAAGUUUCUAAGAUGGCGGCUAGUAAUUAUUAUGGAUUCACACAUGCAGCCGCAGCUGCCGCCGCCGGCCCGCAGUACAGUGCCCAGCCGCCUCCUGUCUAUUCCCACCCAACCUCGGGCAGCUAUAGCAUCCAGGCGGCCCCUGGAGUGGCCCAUGCUGUGACGGCCUCGUACCCCACCGCCCAACAGGCGAGUCCCGCGGUCACCGCCCCCUACCCCACCUACCAGCCCCAUCCUGCCCCCAACUACUGCUACCAGCAGCCCGAAACGUCUCCGCAGCUGACGACCCCCCAUCAAACCUACCAGGUGCUGACCGAACCGGUCAGUCUUCUCUUUGCAGCAUUCAUAUUAAUGAUGCCUCUCAGGUGGGCUCAUUUAUUUAUUCCCAAAUUAAUUUGGUUAUACAGGAGAAUUAUAGCUACGGUCGACUGCCGUCGGUCAGCAGCUACGACAACAAGCAGUACUUUCAAACGAGCAUCGCACCUGUGCAGCAAACCGCAACCGAGGCCUACUUCCAGACAGGGUUGAAAACCGGCUACGGUACGACGAGCACAGCAUACAGUCAGCC